GACGAACCGAGCGAACGUUGUUCGGAAUCACUGGGCUUAAAGGGCGCGUAGGCGGGUAUCCAAGUCUGUGGUGAAAUCCGGCAGCUUAACUGUCGAAUUGCCGUGGAUACUGGGUAUCUCGAGGGAGGCAGGGGUGCGCAGAACUAAUGGUGGAGCGGUGAAAUGCGUUGAUAUCUGGAGGAAUACCGAUGGCGAAGGCAGCCUUCUGGGCCAACACUGACGCUCAUGCACGAAAGCGUGGGGAGCAAACAGG
rnacentral:rRNA from 1 species